CUCUAUAACUGGCCAUGGCCACUCUGACUCCUUCCUACCCUCAUGAACUAGUUCAUAAAACAUGGCUCUAGAUAUCUUUGGAGAACAGAGAAAAGCACAAUAUAUAAAUACCAAGGACAAAACGUCUUGCUGAAGCUGUGUAUCACCACUGACCCGGAGACCAUGCAUUCUUUGCUUUCUGUGCCCCUUUUUGUUUAGUUUUAACAACUUCGUCAAUACUACCAGGACAUUUGACCUCUGUUAUCACAGUUUUUGUUAAAUGUCUGAAAUCACAUCUGCUAAUA
rnacentral:lncRNA from 1 species